UCUCUGUCUUGAGGUUUUCUUGGUGACC
rnacentral:sRNA from 1 species